AUGAGCCCACUUUAAAUCCUUUCCGGAGGAUCCAUUGGAGGGCAAGUCUGGUGCCAGCAGCCUUGGUAAUUCCAGCUCCAACAGCAUAUAUUAAAGCUGCUGUUGUUAUAAAACUCUAGUUGGAUCUUGGGAGCAGUCAGGUGGUCUACUGCAAGGUGAACCACCACUCGUCCCCGCCCCUUGCCUCUCGCGCCCCCUCAUGCUCUUAGCUGAGUGUCCUGAGGGGCCGGAGCAUUUACUUUGAAAAAAUUAAGAGUGUUCAAAGCAGACCCCAGCCACCUGGAUACUGCAGCUAGGAAUAAUGGAAUAGGAGCCCGGUUCUAUUUUGCUGGUUUUCGGAACUGAGGCCAUGAUUAAGAGGGACAGCCGGGGGCAUUCGUAUUGCGCCGCUAGAGGUGAAAUUCUUGGAUUGGUGCAAGACGAACCAGAGCAAAAGCAUUUGCCAAGAAUGUUUUCAUUAAUCAAGAACAAAAAUCAGAGGUUCGAAGAUGAUCAGAUACCGUCAUAGUUCCGACCAUAAACGAUGCCGACUGGCGAUGCGGCGGCGUUAUUCCCAUGACCCACCCAGCAGCUUCUGGGAAACGAAAGUCUUUGGGUUCCUCGGGGAGUAAGGUUGCAAAGCUGAAACUUAAAGGAACUGACGGAAGGGCACCACCAGGAGUGGAGCCUGCGGCUUAAUUUGACUCAACACGGGAAACCUCACCCGACCCGGACACGGACAGGAUUCACAUAUUGACUCAACAUGGGAAACCUCACUCAGCCCGGACAGGGACAGGAUUCACAUAUUGAUAGCUCUUUCUCUAUUCUGUGGGUGGUGGUGCAUGGCUGUUCUUAGUUGGUGGAGCGAUUUGUCUGGUUAAUUCCGAUAACGAACGAGACUCUGGCAUGCUAACUAGUUACGCGACCCCCGAGCGGUCGGCGUCCCCCAACUUCUUAGAGGGACAAGUGGCAUUCAGCCACCCGAGACUGAGCAAUAACAGGUCUGUGAUGCCCUUAGAUGUCCGGGGCUGCACGCAGGCUACACUGACUGGCUCAGCGUGUGCCUACCCUAUGGUGGCAGGCGCGGAUAACCCCCUGGAACCCCCUCUGUGGU